AGUGAACGCUGGCGGUAGGCCUAACACAUGCAAGUCGGACGGCAGCACAGUAAGAGCUUGCUCUUACGGGUGGCGAGUGGCGGACGGGUGAGGAAUACAUCGGAAUCUACUUUUUCGUGGGGGAUAACGUAGGGAAACUUACGCUAAUACCGCAUACGACCUACGGGUGAAAGCAGGGGAUCUUCGGACCUUGCGCGAUUGAAUGAGCCGAUGUCGGAUUAGCUAGUUGGCGGGGUAAAGGCCCACCAAGGCGACGAUCCGUAGCUGGUCUGAGAGGAUGAUCAGCCACACUGGAACUGAGACACGGUCCAGACUCCUACGGGAGGCAGCAGUGGGGAAUAUUGGACAAUGGGCGCAAGCCUGAUCCAGCCAUACCGCGUGGGUGAAGAAGGCCUUCGGGUUGUAAAGCCCUUUUGUUGGGAACGAAAAGCAGCAGGUUAAUACCCCGCUGUUCUGACGGUACCCAAAGAAUAAGCACCGGCUAACUUCGUG
rnacentral:rRNA from 1 species